rnacentral:tRNA from 1 species
CGGGAGUGGCUCAGUGGUAGAGCGUCGCCUUGCCAAGGCGAAUGUCGCGGGUUCGAAUCCUGCCGCCCCAGCCA